AUUGAACGCUGGCGGCAGGCCUAACACAUGCAAGUCGAGCGAGCGGCGGACGGGUGUGUAAUGUCUGUGAAACUGCCUGAUGUGGGGGGAGAAAUACAGUAAACACGAGCUAAUACCGCACACGAUCACAUAUGCCCAGAUGGGAUUAGCUAGUAGGUGGGGUAAUGGCUCACCUAGGCGACGAUCCCCAGCUGGUCUGAGAGGAUGACCAGCCACACUGGAACUGAGACACGGUCCAGACUCCUACGGGAGGCAGCAGUGGGGAAUAUUGCACAAUGGGCGCAAGCCUGAUGCAGCCAUGCCGCGUGUGUGAAGAAGGCCUUCGGGUUGUAAAGCACUUUCAGCGGGGAGGCGUUACCCGCAGAAGAAGCACCGGCUAACUCCGUGCCAGCAGCCGCGGUAAUAC
rnacentral:rRNA from 1 species